UCUCUUUUCUCAUCUACUUCUAUUUCUUUCUCAUCCAAUCUGUUUCUUCUAUAGUUAGAUUAGAUGAGAAGAGAAAGAGACUAUUAGAGGAGAGAGUAUUUUCUGUUAUUGAUUCUGGGAAAUAGAAUGAAUGAAUUCAGAUAAGGAUUCUUCUUUUAUACAUGAAUAGUGCAGCUGUUACUAACCAAUUAUGUUAUUCUAAACUUCUUUCUUUCAACCUAACAACAUUUCCCUCCAAAACACUUCCUACUCAACUCUUCCAUCACUGAUUACUAUUUCUCUUCUUUAUCCUAUAGCAUGUAACAGGGGACCUACCCAAACUACUUCUU
rnacentral:misc_RNA from 1 species